rnacentral:RNase_P_RNA from 1 species
CGCGCGGCGCCAUGGCGAAAGCCCGCGCCGUGAGGAAAGUCCGAGCCCCACAGAGCAGGAUAACAGAUAACAUCUGCCGAAGGCGACUUCAGGGCCAGUGCAACAGAAAUAAACCGCCCGGCAUUUUUUGCCGGGUAAGGAUGGAAAGGCGAGGUAAGAGCUCACCGGCGUGCCGGAGACGGCACGGCCAUGUAAACCCUAUCCGGAGCAACACCGCGGCGGGGGCAUAUGCUUGCUCGGCAGCCCCCAUGGAGGUGGCAUGGAGGUCUGCGGCGACGCAGAUCCAAGAUAGAUGAUCGUUCAUGACAGAACUCGGCUUACAGG